AGGGGACGUGGAGUUCGUGAUAAUGACCUUAUGAAUUAUUUAAUUUAAUUUUACUUUAAGGUUAUUAGGUUUUUUAUUUUUUUGAUAAAAUCCAAAAUUAUGUUUUUAUCGGCGGCACUUGUUGUAAGAUCAAAAAAAUGUAGUCAAGAUUAGACAAAAAUCAGAUGCCAAUGUUAUGGACCUGGUCAAUACUGUAGACCAGUCCCCUACUUUGGACG
rnacentral:lncRNA from 1 species